CCGCCCUUAGCUCAGCUGGAUAGAGCGGUCCCCUCCUAAGGGACAGGUCACACGUUCGAAUCGUGUAGGGCGGGCCA
rnacentral:tRNA from 1 species